GAUGAAGAACGUAGCGAAAUGCGAUACGUAAUGUGAAUUGCAGAAUUCAGUGAAUCAUCGAAUCUUUGAACGCACAUUGCGCCCGCUAGUAUUCUGGCGGGCAUGCCUGUCCGAGCGUCAUUUCAACCCAUCAAGCUUAGCGCUUGUGUUGGAGCCCUGCGGCCGCCGCAGCCUCCUAAAAUCAGUGGCGGGCUCGCUAUCACGCUGAGUGCAGUAUUAUUCUUCUCACUCCUGUGGUGUAGCGGGUAACCAGCCGUAAACCCCCCCAUCUAUAAAGGUUGACCUCGGAUCAGGUAGGAAUACCCGCUGAACUUAAGCAUAUCAAUAAGCGGAGGA
rnacentral:misc_RNA from 1 species